UGCGUAGGCGGAAUUAUAAGUCAGAGGUGAAAGCUCGCAGCUCAACUGCGGAAUUGCCUUUGAUACUGUAAAUCUUGAAUUAGGUUGAGGUUAGCGGAAUGUGACAUGUAGCGGUGAAAUGCAUAGAUAUGUCAUAGAACACCAAUUGCGAAGGCAGCUAGCUAGGCCUAUAUUGACGCUGAGGCACGAAAGCGUGGGGAGCGAACAGGAUUAGAUACCCUGGUAGUC
rnacentral:rRNA from 1 species